CAAAUGUAAGCUAUAUUUACUGUAUGUAAAAUGUUGCAAAACUGUAAUUUUCACCUAUUUUCACAAUGAUAAACAUGAUAAGGAAAAUUCACAUACGAAGAGGACACAAAAAUGUAUUUAUUGCAAAAUACAAAGAAACAGAUCACUGUUCAUCAGACCCCUGAUCUCAGUCAGGCAAGAAGACCUCAUCUACAUCAGCUGCAAUAUUCUCCCUAUCCAAACAGCGGGGUAAAAACGCCUUGCAUGGCAAAUCCAUCUUUGGCAAUCAUCUGCAUGGAUGUCAGUACAUGCCUCCCCCAUUACAUGAAGUAGAGCCACACGCUCGUGGGGUCUGCGUUUGUACACUUUCCACCUCCAUGCAGAAAAGAAUUCCUCUAUUGGAUUGAGAAAUGGGGAAUAUGGUGGAAGGUGCAGCACAACAAACUGUGGAUUUAGAGAACCAAUCAUUGACCAGAGCUGCCCAGUGGAAACUUACAUUAUCCCAGAUGACAACAUAGUAGGGCUGUAUCAGUCACGUGAGGCCUCUUUUAUAUUCUGACAAAUGAUUGAAACGUUCUUCUAAUUAAGUUUAUAUAGCUGCAACUUGUGUGAGACUACUUGGUAAUUAGGGUUUUGUAUUUGGAGAUCAGUAGUUCUUAGGUGAGCAAGGUGUUCUAAAUAAUGCAAUUUGUGUUUAGUGAUUUGCAAAGCUGUGAUUUAGAAUGAUAUCUGAGUGAGAACAUGUGGAAUUGUGUUUAGAGUUUAGCAGUCUGGAGUCACAAUGUUGACACAUGAGCUUCAUGUUUUUGGAUUUGUGUGCAUAGUUCCACAUUUUGUGUGUAAACAAUGUGGAAAAACUGUAAAUGGAUUAUACCUAAAUCUUUUAUUUUUUUAAAACUUUCAAGAUUACUCAUAGGAUUAACAGUACAGUUUUCCUUUUGUUUUAUAUUAAUUUGAGAUGACUUAAUGUGUUUAAGAUUAUUACAAUUACUAAAAACAUAAUUUUUUGUAGAUUAUUGGUAUUUUUUGAAAAAUGCUGGUCCUAAGUCUUCUACUACUAAUGAAUACUCGUAUAAUUAAACUUGCAUUGUUGGUCUUGGGUAGUCAUUUAAAAUAAAAAACAGAGUAAAAUAUAUUGUGUCCUAAUAUCUGCGCACCCAGCCUAUUGGGAUGAACUCCAUCAAAUCUAUAGAAAGAGGGGCGAUUCCAGAAGAGGUUAAAAUUGUCUAUUAAAGCCAAGCCUUGGGAGACGCAGGUAUUGUGAAGCCAGGUAAGAAGAUUUAAAAGUCAACUAAAAUGACCUGAGCCUCUUCCUAGUAAAGGAAUUGGUCCAGAAAUAAAAACAGAUUUAGCACAGUCUUGAAUGAAGUAUAGCAGGCAUGUGAAGUCCUUUUUAACAGUUCUGUGCUGUGAUUUCUGAUGUGGUUACAUCCAACAUGGAUAAUUAUCCUCUCCACCGAGUGUUGUUGCUUUAGAAGACUGGGGAGCAGCAUUAUAAUGUCCGAGACCUUUGCACCAGAAACUGAGUGGACAGCAGCUGAGCAAUGGUGAAUGUUUCUGACAAUUGAGUCUCCAACCACAAGGGGGUUUGGUUGUGGUCUGCGGAUCUGUCACGGGGGUAGACCAUGAGGUCGUGGCUCGGUGAUCAGCAGUCAUUCACGCAACCGUCUCGAGACUUCAGACACAGCAUCCUGAAACUUUCCUUGCCGGGGGACUUUAACAACGUCACACUGGACUCAGUACUCACCAGUAUGUGGACCAGGAAGAACAGAACUAUUGAUCUCCUUUACCCCAACACAAAGGAUGCAUACACCGCCACACCUCUCCCUUCUCUGGGGAAAUCCGACCACAACCUGAUCUACCUGCAGACCCAGUACAAGCCCCAGGUCCGUAGACAACCUGCAUCUACACGCUCCUUCAGGAAAUGGUCUCGAGGUGCUUAAGCAGCUCCCAGGGACUGUUUUGAGUCCACUGAAUGGAGUGUAUUGCAGAAGCCAUAUGGGGAGGACAUUGAGGGGAUUACACAUUGCAUGACAGACUACAUGAACUUUUGCAUGGACAUUGUUGUUCCUGUGAAAACUGUGCGCUGUUUUGCUAACAACAAGCCCUGGAUAACCAGCAAUGUUAAAGGCCAUCCGAACAAGAAGAAGAUGGCCUUUAAAGAUAACAACUAGGAGGAGUUUAGGAGCAUACAGAGGGAGCUCAAAGUCCAUUUGCGAAAGGCAAAGGAGUCCUACAGGAAGAAGGUGGAGCAGAAGCCGAGGGAAAAUAACAUGAGUGAGAUAUGGAAUGGAAUGAAGACAAUUACAGGCUGUAAGCAGAGGAUGGACAGUGCCACAGACGGUGACGGUGAUGAUGAUGGUCAUCCAUUGCAUUCCAUCAUCAUGGAUCAUAGGAGCAGUUUCAGUGGCAGGUUCUUGUCACAGAGCUGCUCUGUGCUAUCUGUACUGGAAAAACACUUUGUAUCAUGUACAUCUACACCCUGGGACUUUUUCUGACAUUUUACUGUAUAUACUGUUCAUUUGCACCCCUGGACACUUGUCACUUUACUCUACAUCCUAUACAUUUGCACUACUGGACACUUACUGUACAUCCUGUACAUUUGCACUCAUGGACACUACGCACCUAACUUAAAUAAAAUACUUGCACAGA